rnacentral:rRNA from 1 species
UACGACUACAUAUCAGGCAUAUCAAUAAGCGGAGGAAAAGAAACUAACAAGGAUUCCCUUAGUAACGGCGAGUGAAGCGGGAAGAGCUCAAAUUUGAAAUCUUCAAGGUUUUACCUUGACGAAUUGUAGUUUAAAGAAGUGUUUUCUGUUGGAGUUUUGGUAAAAGUUCUUUGGAAUAGGACAUCAUAGAGGGUGAGAAUCCCGUAUUUGACCAUUAUUUCCAGCUGUGUGAUACACUUUCAAAGAGUCGGAUUGUUUGGGAAUGCAGUCCAAAAUGGGUGGUAAAUUUCAUCUAAAGCUAAAUAUUGGCGAGAGACCGAUAGCGAACAAGUACCGUGAGGGAAAGAUGAAAAGAACUUUGAAAAGAGAGUUAAACAGUACGUGAAAUUGUCAAAAGGGAGGCGUUUGACACCAGUGUUGUUUUCUCGAAAAUCAAUUAAAAAUGGCUGGAUUUUGUGUUGUAUUGACCUUAUAAGCUUUCUGCACUUUUUUCUAUGUCUUUUUUAAUGCACUUUUCGUUUAACAAGUCAACAUCAAUUUCUUUUGUUGUAAAAGGGUCAUUGGAAGGUGGCUUUCACUUCGGUGAAAGUGUUUAUAGCCUUUGACUUCUGCAAUCGGAGAGAUUGAGGUCUGCAGCGCAGAUCCUUCGGGGUUAGAUACAUUUGUGCUAAGUUAUAGCUUUUCAUAGACAACUUGUUGACUAUGUUUAGUCUUGUAGCUUACUCGCUUAUGCUAUUUUACCUACGCUUAGGAUGUUGAACGCGCACAGAGUCUC